rnacentral:rRNA from 1 species
GCAGAGCAUCCUACGGGAGGCAGCAGUGGGGAAUAUUGCACAAUGGGCGCAAGCCUGAUGCAGCCAUGCCGCGUGUAUGAAGAAGGCCUUCGGGUUGUAAAGUACUUUCAGCAGUGAGGAAGGUGGGUAUGUUAAUAGCAUACUCAUUUGACGUUAGCUGCAGAAGAAGCACCGGCUAACUCCGUGCCAGCAGCCGCGGUAAUACGGAGGGUGCGAGCGUUAAUCGGAAUUACUGGGCGUAAAGCGCAUGCAGGUGGUUUGUUAAGUCAGAUGUGAAAGCCCGGGGCUCAACCUCGGAAUUGCAUUUGAAACUGGCAAACUAGAGUACUGUAGAGGGGGUAGAAUUUCAGGUGUAGCGGUGAAAUGCGUAGAGAUCUGAAGGAAUACCGGUGGCGAAGGCGGCCCCCUGGACAGAUACUGACACUCAGAUGCGAAAAGCGUGGGGAGCAAACAGGAUUAGAUACCCUGGUAG